GUUGGGUGUUUCUUCUUGGAGGAGGUGCCAUUUUGUAACAACCCGAUAUUUUGAGAUGAUAAAAUGUAACGCCAGUCAAAUUUAAGCCAAAACUUAACUUUCCUAAAAUCAUAUUUGGGUUAAAUAAAGUGGUAGUGCUCGUAUCAAGGUUUUCGUACAUAUAAAGAACACUAAAAUCCGAGUUAUAACGAAGAAGUUAUGACCAAUCAAAAAUUCACGGCGAGAACCGGCAACGCUGGUAGACGUAAAACGCAAAGUUUCGAUACAAUAAUUUUUAGCCUUAGGUAUCUAAACGAAAGUCGUAGAUUACAUUAAACUGUGAUCAUGCAUAAAAAGAACGCCCAAAUCUGACUUCGUAUGAGGAAGUUAUGAUUUUCCGAAGUUUUCUAACCUAGCAGUAGACAGCUAAAAACUCGAAACAGAGAUCGAGCGAUCUUUAGCCGACACAACCUAAACGAAAGUUGGAGAGCCCGACAAUAGGAGUAUAACAAUAAAAAGUCUGACGAAAACGGACGUCGGAUAAAGAAGUUACGGAUUUUUUUAACGAAGUUAUCGUGUCCCGACCUAUUAAUUAAAAUAUAAUUAAAAAUAAAGUCAAAAUUAGCCGACGGAGUCUAAAUGAAAGUUGUAGAGUAUUUUCUCACCUUCGCGUGGAUAUAAAGAACGUCAAAAACGGAGCUCGUAUGUGAAAGUUACGGGUUUUUGAAGUUCUUGGCACGCACUUCAAAGUCUUAUCCGAAGGAGUACGCCCUGCGUACCCUCGUACGCCCCGCGUACUCGGAUACAAGGCUCCGGAUCAACCACGUCGAUAGACUCUUCGCCCGAGGAUGCGGUAAGCAGUGACGCAAGCGAAUGCCCUGCGUACCUUCGGAGUACGCCCCGCGUACGAAGAACGCCCAGCGUAAGUCCGAAGUACGCCCCGCGUACCGAGGACCUCCAGCCCCUAUAAAUAGAUUGCGAGGGUGCCGGCUAUUUUCACACAAAUGCUUCAAUUCUCUCUCAUUUUCGCCUCGUUUUUCGUGCCGACAACAUCCCGACUUCCCGGUUUCAUAUCCAAGCCCCGACGAAAGUCCGAAGCCCCGAGAUUCCCGAAAAUCUCGUCACUUUCCGGUCGAGGUGCCGCCCGGGAAAAUCUCGUUUUCUUCAAAUCACGCGCCUUCAUCGGUGAGUUCAUACCCCUAUAAUCUACAUUUUUAUCAAUAUUGUUUUAAUAUACACUUUUGAGGGGGGGAAUACAAGUAAACACACGAUUAUUAUCGUGUGUAACUCAAAGAUUCACUAAAUACUCAUUUUUAUCAAGUAAAUCAUAUGUGAUUCACAACCAUUAUGUGGAAUCUUUCAUACGGAAAACAUAACACGAUAUCGUCUGAUAUAUAUAUCGAAAUUAAAUAUGUUGUUAUACGUAUACGAAUCAAACAGUUUAUUUAUACCUCGAGUACAAGUGUUCAUUAUGUCACCACAAAAAGUUACACAUUUCAUAACAAGUGAGCAUUACACUAGGGUUACUAUACAAACGAAACGAACUUUUGGAAAAACUAUAAUAGUUUACGACAAACAUUUAUACAUGUUAAAAACUCUUUAUCAAACUGUCUUACAUACUUUAUGAUUCCUUUCAAACGCUGUUAGAAUCAUGUUACUAACAAAGGUCUUCCUAUAUUUAAAACUGUUCUUAUCAAACAAACUGCUUUCAAAUCAUUUUAUAAACUGACAUCAAGUCAUCAAUUCUUAUUUAUUAAACUUUUCAAAGGUUUUACAAAACUUCUUUUAUAUUUUUGUGCUUGCCUAUAUAUGUAUACUUAUAUAAGUAAUGUUUGAAGGACUUAGGACGGCUAGCUCGCUUUAUUUCCUUUUCCUCGUUGGGAUGUGGCCUUAGGGCAUCGGUUAUUCGUCCGAAUGUCGUCUAAAUAUUAGUUAUAUAUAUAUAUAUAUAUAUAUAUAGACAUAAAAGUUUCCGUCAGUUCGUUCAGUACCUUUGAGUAGCAAAGGCAUAUUUUGAAUUAUACACACACAUUAUCAAUAACUAUAAUAGGUAUAGUUAAGACAUACUAUUUACCAUUCCAAGUACCAGGAAUCAUACAAGAUGUAGUCUAUUCAUGAGUCAAUACAAAUACAUUACAUACUAUGCGAAGAGGUACAAUUACAUACAAUUACAAAAGCAUACAACUUCGAGACAUACCAUUUCAAGGAAUACAAUUACAUGAGAUAGUAUACUAGAUAUUCAUAACGUUUUAUAUACUACAAGUACCAUAUCAAGAAGGUAUUUUCAUACAAAAACAAAUGGACAUUUUCAUACGUAAAUUUGUUUUAUACUAGGUUGUGAGACAGCUUCACGUACUUUCGAGUAUGCAUUAUUAAGUCCUGUAUUAUAUACCAUAAUCCCUUGUAGGGGGAGCGUGAUACUUGUGUAUAGAUCUAUACGGGAUUGACAAUCCCACACCUAAGCUGUUAGCUACAGCUAGGCCGGCAGGCCUGGGGUGACAAAUGUCAUAACAGUUCCAACGCCUGAAGAACGUUGUUACAGGCCAUCAGUGUCAUUAGCAUGGUUAUAAAACUCACAUGGAGUAUUAAAAACACAUUGAUUUACGGAGUUUUCAUAUAUCUUAGCAGUUAUAACUGUACACAAAUCUACUAUUUUAGACAUGAAAAACAUCAUGGUAGUUUCAUUUUGGGACUUUUAAUGUACCAUCUACUUACGAACAAAUAUUGGAUUUUUGAAACAAACAUUUAAAACAGUCGAGCCUUGGUAGAAGGCUACACUUUAUACUAGUAGAAAAUAUGGGAUUUUCUAGAAGUUUCAAACGUUUACAAUUACUUACAAACAUAUUCGUUGGUACAAACUUUCUUUCAAACAAUUACAUGUCUUUCUUUACAGCUUUACAAAUCAAAGUCACAUAAAUACUUAUGAACUCACCAGCAUUAUUGCUGAUACUCGCUUUCAAAAUAACUUGUAUUCCCAGGAUACGGAUAGACAGGUACGACUACCAGGUUUUGUGAAGACGGAGCGAUCAAGACUCGUCUUUUAUUUCUGAAUAUUCAUUUUUGUAGAAUUAUACUAUGAAAGAACUCAAAUGUAAUUACAAUUAUACUAUUAAUGCAAUGGAUGAUGUUGUUGCUUGUUUACUACUUAGCAUUGUUGUGAUACAUUACAUGACGUCCUCCGCCCCAGAACGUUUCCGCCGUUCUCGGUUUUGGGGUGUGACAGAUUGGUAUCAGAGCAUUGUUUAUAGUGAAUCAAGUAUAUCAACCCAUAAAAGAUAUACGAACUAUAAAUACAAUAGGGAUUAAAAUACUCUGAUAAAGAGAUUAUACUUUUAAAUAAUAAAAUAUUUAAGUAAGUAUACGUGCCUGCAUACAUACUAAAAUCAGUAUCACUAGGACGGAACAAAAGUAUUACGAUUGUUGGGCAACACAAGUAGACUUAGAGACAUAUAGUCAAAACUGGGAUGAUAUAGCCUGAUCAACUAUAUUUUCCAAGGGUUGACUAGCAUGUGCCUAAGUGUGGUUGUGAGUUGCAACAAGUCUAAAAACUUACCCACAACACCACAAUGGGAACAAUAGAACGUAAACCUAAAAUACUAUAGGAGUAUUUUGUGUAUUCUAUAAACUACUUAUGUGUUAGAUUCUUAUACCCCAAAUUACCGUAUAGAUAACAUAGCUGGACCCCAUCCCCACGACAACUCGUACUUCCCGAACAAAGGCAGUGCUGGAUGGUUCAGAGAAGAACCAGAGAAUGAUCAUCCAAUCCCUUUUGAAUGAUCACCAUACUGAAGAUCUUUCGGACGAUGAUAACUCUGAACUCGAGAAGGAGAACCUACCCCCGGUAACUUCCAAUUCAAACCCUAACCCUCGUCUAGCUCUUCAUGGCCCGACACUUCCUUGGGUAGUAUGCCUAGAAACAUGGAGCGCAGAGCAAAAUCAACCUAUGUCGUCAAAAGGAGACCGAAGCUACUACCACUUAAGCGAAGGGAGCUCAGCAGACAAAGUUCUAACAAUACUGAUCCGCAGAGUUGAUCAAAACGAAAUUCAAGGCAGGACGACGCUCCAUUAUAUCAAAGAAGUUAAAUACCAACGCAAGAAUGCACACCAUCUACACCAAUCAUCUUGAAAACACUCGUGAGAGAACUAAGAGAGACCAUGAGACCCUGCUGCAAGCAUUAGCUGAAACGCAAGCCGAAGUCAUAAGAACUCCAACGGGUGUACGAAGGACACCUUCUUAAUAAUAAUGGAACAUUAAUUGGCUAACUGAGAGUUCACCAGAAGGAUGACCUCCGCCAGAAAGAAAGGCUUUGUUUCCUUACCUUGUUUAAAUGGACUAUUUUUUUCUGUCUAUGCCCGAUGCAACAUUUUCUAUGAAACUAUCUUGUACUGUAAGUUGGGCCUUUAUGCUGCUAAAACCUUCCUACUCUGGAUAUGAUGUAAGACCUUCUUCAAAGUCAAAUUUUUCCUAAGCUUAUUACAUCGUAAAGCAUCGAUGAUAUUGACAGUCGGCUAACUCCCGUGUCACCUUUGGUUCAAAAACCCUCAUCAUACCUUCGUUAAUAUGCUUUAGUCAAGUCAUUGGACUAUAAUAAUUUAACUCCGGGAGGCAUUUCCAUGACUCUUCUAGCAGUUGAAUCAUGUUAUCCACCAACCAGUUAUACCUCAGCUGGAACGACAAACGUCUUGAAAGACCAUUUUACAAACAUACUUCUACUCUAUACUAUGAUUGCAUCAUAGGGAUGUAGAUCAAACCAUCAUGAACAUACUUCCAAUCCGUACUAGGACUGCAUCAUAGGGGUGUAGGUCAAACUUGCGAGAACAUACUUUUACUCUUUACUUAAAGCAAUCGAAGUACCUCUGGAGUCAACCAGAAUCACUCACAAAAAUCUUUAUCUUUCGUAUUACAAAAAAAUCAUGUCCGGAAACGAUCCGAUGAGCAACGAAAGACCCUAUCCUCCAUAUCGACGCCGCUUCAUUUCAAACGGCAGUAGCAGCUGCGGUGACAACUUUCCUUACACACAUCAACCCAGGCAACGUAAGCAGGACCGACAAAGAAGUCGAGAGUCCCGAUGGUAAUACCGAAACAGGAAAAACAACAAAUGGUAACUCCUGCAGAACGCUUUAGGAAGCAGUUUCCAAGGUGGUGUAAUGAGGAAGGCACUCGUGUCCACAUAACACUGGCUAAACACCUCACUUCCGCCACCAAGGCUAAGUACUAGCCAGUCAUGCCACCAAUGCGGGGAGAUAGGGCAUCUCAAGAAGGAUUGUCCUAUAACAAAGAACUCUGGCGCAGACGGUAGGAUUCUCAGGAUCACAGCUGCAGGAGAACCUACUACGAACCCACGUUAAUGUAAUUUAAGCGUUUCAUUGUAACAGACUUAUAAACCAUCCAAAACUAGUACAAUCAGAGUCUUAUCCUUUGCGGGAUCCCGUCAGUAUAGGGAUGCUCAUACUUGCCAUUUAUAGUAUACCUUAUUCACGGCAAUAAACUUGUAGUAGUUUAAAGUACUGUAACUCUGUUGAUGGUUGCACGGUUGUGUUUUGUCUGUAAACGUUUCAUAUUCAAAUCGAAUGUCUUUAAGUUUCCUUUUGACUCCAACAUUAUCUUACGACUUGAUACAAUUAGAUCCUCACAAAAACAGCUUCAUACGUACAUCUCCUUCUCCGAAAACGUCUUUCUAGCGAAACCAUCAUUCCAGAACACCGAAGUACCCAUGUAUAGAAUACCUCAUAGUUAUUUUCUUUUCCAAAGGAAUCUCCGAAGUACCACUUGUACAGUACGUCAAGUUCAAAAUCCAAAGGGUCCAUACGGUUGAACUUCGCUGAUGAACGUGUACCUAGGGGUGAUAUAUAAUCAAGGUUCUACAAAUUUGGAAAUUGAUGUUUCCACUUAAACUUCUUUUCCUCGUUGGGAUGUGGGCUUAAAGAAGAAUCAUUUAUUCGACUACCUUUUCAAUCUUAAUUAUAAACGAUUCGUAUACCCGAGACUGUGAUGGAUGAACCAGGUAUGAAUUCUACUAUGAACUUCAGGACGAAGACUGCCCAAGACUACGAAUGAUCGUGCUUCCAUAAGAAUAAACUUAGAAAUACCUAUCCUUUUCCCCUAAUUCAUGAGUAGUCAUACUUCUUUUAGACCUUCACGACAGCUAAUCCACCCCCAGAUUUUGACAUCAUAAUCAGUAGUAGUUGAUUCAGUCUACAUCGAGCCAACAUCAGGUGCUUUGAUAAAGCAGUUCGUCCCAACCUCCCUAACACAACGAAGCCCUAGUUAUUUACAGCCACGAACCCAGUACAAACCCUCUCAUCUUUUCGUGUAUGCAUACUCAGAAAUGCUUACGAAAGGAAUAUCAUGUAUUCCUUGCACACAUCGCCGAGACGUGCCAAGAAGUGAAGGACAUUCAGAACAUCCAAGAAGUACGCGGCUUUCCCCGACACCUUUCCAGAAGGACAACCGAGACUACCAACACGGCGUCAAGUCAAACUCAGAAUCGACUUAGUUCCAGUAGCCAAAUCACCUUAUUGUCUAGCUCCAACCGAGGUGCAAGAACUUCCUAACGAGCUUAACAAGCUCCUCAGAAGAGGAUUCUUUAGGACAAGUUUCUCACUUGGAAGAGCACCGGAUUCAUCUGUAAACAAGAAGGAGCGUUCCAAACGCUAAAGUAAGUCUGAUACAUCGCACCAAUAUUAUCCCUCCCAAAAAGGGGAUAGAAUAUUGCGUGGUGUAAUGUGAUACAUCUAACCAAGGGCUCGGUUGUGUUAUUAUGCAAGAGGAAAGAUCACUACCUAUACCUCAAGACAGUUUAAGACCCAAAAAUUUGAUUGUUCAACACAGGACCUUGAUUCAGGAGUAGCGUUGAUUGCUCUGAAGAUCUGGAGACACUACUUGUAGGGUACAAGGUGUAAUACUCUCACCGAACAUGGAAACACACAACACACAUUCGACAAGGAAAGGAUAUCAUACCAGUGAAGUCAAACGAAAGAAGCAAAGUGGUAUCCCAUUAGUGAAAGAUUCACUGGAAUGCCAGGCGAAGACGAAUGUUUGCUUAAGAACACGAGUAUCAAAUAGAACUUCUAUCCGUAACAUGAUUGUUAAUACUACUUAAAACUCGAAUUUCGGGAUAAAUUCCCUCUAACAGGGGGAUGAUGCAACAACCCGAUAUUUUGAGAUGAUAAAAUGUAAUGCCAGUCAAAUUUAAGCCAAAACUUAACUUUCCUAAAAUCAUAUUUGGGUUAAAUAAAGUGGUAGGGCUCGUAUCAAGGUUUUCGUACAUAUAAAGAACACUAAAAUCCAAGUUAUAACGAAGAAGUUAUGACCAAUCAAAAAUUCACGGCGAGAACCGGCAACGCUGGUAGACGUAAAACGCAAAGUUUUGAUACAAUAAUUUUUAGCCUUAGGUAUCUAAACGAAAGUCGUAGAUUACGUUAAACCGUGAUCAUGCAUAAAAAGAACGCCCAAAUCUGACUUCGUAUGAGGAAGUUAUGAUUUUCCGAAGUUUCUAACCUAGCAGUAGACAGCUAAAAACUCGAAACAGAGAUCGAGCGAUCUUUAGCCGACACAACCUAAACGAAAGUUGGAGAGCCCGACAAUAGGAGUAUAACAAUAAAAAGUCUGACGAAAACGGACGUCGGAUAAAG
rnacentral:lncRNA from 1 species